UUGCGAAUGAUGACAAAGCUUUCUCACAUGUUCGCAGUUGAGAGUUGAGCACAAGCAGAACGACUCGAUGAGUUUUCACGUAGCCUUCACUUAGAUGUCUGACGCGAAA
rnacentral:snoRNA from 2 species